rnacentral:rRNA from 1 species
AUUGAACGCUGGCGGCAGGCCUUACACAUGCAAGUCGAACGGAGUGGCGAACGGGUGAGUAAUGUAUAGGAACGUGCCCAGUAGCGGGGGAUAACUACGCGAAAGCGUAGCUAAUACCGCAUACUAUUGGAGCGGCCGAGAUCGGAUUAGCUAGUUGGUGGGGUAACGGCUCACCAAGGCGACGAUCCGUAGCUGGUUUGAGAGGACGACCAGCCAAACUGGGACGGAGACACGGCCCAGACUCCUACGGGAGGCAGCAGUGGGGAAUUUUGGACAAUGGGGGAAACCCUGAUCCAGCCAUCCCGCGUGUGCGAUGAAGGCCUUCGGGUUGUAAAGCACUUUUAGCAGGAAAGCGGUACCUGCAGAAUAAGCACCGGCUAACUACGUGCCAGCAGCCGCGGUAAUUC